rnacentral:lncRNA from 1 species
CUUUGCCCAUAUCCCGGUGGUCCCGUGUCCUCACGCAUCUCCUCGUGUCCUCUGUGUCACCCGUGUCCUCCAUGUCCCCCAUGUCACCUCCAUGUCACUCCAGGUCCCCCCCAUGUUGUCCCGUAUCCUCCCGUAUCCCCCACUUUGCCCAUAUCCCGGUGGUCCCGUGUCCUCACGCAUCUCCUCGUGUCCCCCGGGUCCCCCAUGUCACCAUGGGUCCCUCCCAUGUUGUCCCGUAUCCUCCUGUAUCCCCCACUUUGCCCAUAUCCCGGUGGUCCCGUGUCCUCAUGUAUCUCCUCGUGUCCCCCCGUGUCCCCCCCAUGUCACCAUGGGUCCCCAAGGGUCCCUCUUGUGUUGUCCCGUGUCACCCCAUACGCUCCGCGUCACCCAUAGCCCAGCAUCCCCGCGUCCUCCCGCGUGUCCUCCUGUCCCACCGAGUCCCCUGGGUGUCCCCGCAGGUCACAACGUGUCCCCACGGGUCCCCCCCCAGGUUGUCCCAUGUC